rnacentral:lncRNA from 1 species
AUGGAGGAAAUUGAAAUUGGUCAUUUCAGACACAUUAAAGAAAUAAGAUCUCUCUUUCUUGCUAAGAGGAACCAUGGCUUUAUUGUUUUCCAGACUCCGCUGUGUCAGCAACUCCAGCCAGAGAAUAUAAAAAUGAAUUCUCCAAGUUUCAAGAAGGGACUUGAAGGAGAAUACUGAAGGUACUCAACAAGGAGAAUGAUCCAGACAUGGAGCAGCAUAACAGAUGACAUGAACCCAAAGGCGGAAUAAGGUGAGAAUACGCAACUCCAAAUAUUCCAGGAGUUCACACCAACUCUUCAUCUGCUCAGAAUAAUUGCAUUCUAGUAAAAGAUGGUUGUUCCCUUACUGAGAUCUUCUCAUUUUUACUUUAAUUUUUCCUCCCACUUCCCAUAAACAUAGGCAUAUAAAAAGGCCAUAUUGGGUCAAAUCAAUGGUCCAUCUAGUCCAGUAACCGGUCUUCUGACAGUGGCCAGUACCAUAUGCUUCAAAGGGAAUUAACAGAAUAGGGCAAUUAUCAAAUGAUCCAUCCCCUGUUGUUCAGUUCCAGCAUCUGGCAGUCAGUUUAAGAAAACCCAGAGCAUGGGGUUUCAUCCCUGACCAUCUUGGCUAAUAGUCAUUGAUGGACCUGUCCUCCAUGAACUUAUCUAAUUCUUUUUUAACCCAGUUAUAGUUUUGGCCUUCACAACAUCCCCUGGCAAUGAAUUUCACAGGUUGACUGUGUACUGUGAAGAAAUACUUCCUUCUCUUUGUUUUAAACCUGCUAUUAAUUUUAUUGGGUGAUCCCUGGUUCUUGUGUUAUGUGAAGGGGUAAAUAACACUUCCUUAUUCACUUUCUCCACACCAUUCAUGAUUUUAUAUCUCUCUAUCCUAUCCUCCCUUAGUCCUCUCUUUUCCAAGCUGAACAAUCACAGUCUUUUUAAUCUCUCCUCAUAUGGAAACUGUUUCAUCCUUAAUCAUUUUUAUUGCCUUUCUCUGUUUCUUUUCCAUUUCUAAUAUAUCUUUUUUUAAGAUGGAGUGACCAGAACUGCACACAGUAUUCAAGGUGUGGGUUUAUCAUGGAUCUAUAUAGUGGCAUUAUGAUAUUUAUUGUCUUGUUACCCUUUUCAAAUGGUUCCAAACACUGCAUUAGCUUUUUUGAUUGCCACUGCACAUUGAGCAGAUGUUUCCAGAGAACUAU